rnacentral:tRNA from 1 species
GGGCCCAUAGCUCAGUUGGUUAGAGCGACGGACUCAUAAUCCGUUGGUCCCUGGUUCGAGUCCGGGUGGGCCCA